rnacentral:rRNA from 1 species
AUUGAACGCUGGCGGCAGGCCUAACACAUGCAAGUCGAGCGAGCGGCGGACGGGUGAGUAAUGUCUGGGAAACUGCCUGAUGGAGGGGGAUAACUACUGGAAACGGUAGCUAAUACCGCAUACAAUAAGAUGUGCGCAGAUGGGAUUAGCUAGUAGGUGGGGUAAUGUCUCACCUAGGCGACGAUCCCUAGCUGGUCUGAGAGGAGGACCAGCCACACUGGAACGGAGACACGGCCCAGACUCCUACGGGAGGCAGCAGUGGGGAAUAUUGCACAAUGGGCGCAAGCCUGAUGCAGCCAUGCCGCGUGGAUGAAGAAGGCCUUCGGGUUGUAAAGUACUGUCAGCAGGGAGGCGUUACCCACAGAAGAAGCACCGGCUAACUCCGUGCCAGCAGCCGCGGUAAUUC